rnacentral:rRNA from 1 species
UGGGUGAUCUGCCCUGCACUCUGGGAUAAGCCUGGGAAACUGGGUCUAAUACCGGAUAUGACUCCUCAUCGCAUGGGUGGGGGGUGGAAAGCUUUAUUGUGGUUUUGGAUGGACUCGCGGCCUAUCAGCUUGUUGGUGAGGUAAUGGCUCACCAAGGCGACGACGGGUAGCCGGCCUGAGAGGGUGACCGGCCACACUGGGACUGAGACACGGCCCAGACUCCGUACGGGAGCAG